rnacentral:sRNA from 1 species
GUCGUGAGAUGUUGGGUUAAGUCCCGCAACGAGCGCAACCCUUAUCUGCUGUUGCCAGCGCGUAAAGGCGGGGACUCUGCAGAGACUGCCGGUGAUAAACCGGAGGAAGGUGGGGACGACGUCAAGUCAUCAUGGUCCUUACGCCCAGGGCUACACACGUGCUACAAUGGCCGGGACAAAGCGCAGCAAGCCCGCGAGGGGGAGCGAAUCGCAAAAACCCGGUCUAAGUUCGGAUUGCAGUCUGUAACUCGACUGCAUGAAGUCGGAAUCGCUAGUAAUCGUGGGUCAGCUACACCACGGUGAAUACGUUCCCGGGCCUUGUACACACCGCCCGUCACGCCAUGGAAGUCGGGAGCGCCCGAAGUCGGUGACCCAACCCUUCGGGGAGGGAGCCGCCGAAGGCGAGCUCGGUGACUGGGGCGAAGUCGUAACAAGGUAGCCGUAGGGGAACCUGCGGCUGGAUCACCUCCUUUCUGGAGCGACCAGUAAGCGCGGCGCAGCUUCGGCUGCGGAUGCGUCGAACGUCCUCACAGGUCGAGCGCUCAUUGGGAAAGCACACCCGAGAUCUUGGUUGAUUGACAAAUUGGGUAAGGGGAAGGGUAGUAGAGAGUGGACUUCGUCGAGGAGGGAUCCUCGAGGGAGAGCACCACGUGUGAUUAGGUUCGGUGGGCCGGAUAUGAGGCAUAUCCGGUCAAGCGGAAUAAGGGCGCACGGUGGAUGCCUUGGCACGGACAGGCGAAGAAGGGCGUGAUAAGCUGCGAAAAGCUUCGGGGAGCCGCACGUAGGCGUUGAUCCGGAGGUGC